rnacentral:rRNA from 1 species
GGGCCAGACUCCUACGGGAGGCAGCAGUGGGGGAUAUUGCACAAUGGGGGGAACCCUGAUGCAGCGACGCCGCGUGGGUGAAGAAGCGCCUCGGCGCGUAAAGCCCUGUCAGCAGGGAAGAAAAUGACGGUACCUGAAGAAGAAGCCCCGGCUAACUCCGUGCCAGCAGCCGCGGUAAUACGGAGGAUGCGAGCGUUAUCCGGAUUUAUUGGGUUUAAAGGGUGCGCAGGCGGAGGCACAAGUCAGCGGUAAAACCGGGGGGCUCACCCCCGCUCCGCCGUUGAAACUGUGUCCCUUGAGUGCGCGAAGGGUAGGCGGAAUGCGUGGUGUAGCGGUGAAAUGCAUAGAUAUCACGCAGAACUCCGAUCGCGAAGGCAGCCUACCGGCGCGCAACUGACGCUCAUGCACGAAAGCGUGGGUAUCGAACAGGAUUAGAUACCCCAGUA